rnacentral:rRNA from 1 species
UGGGUAAUAUUGCACAAUGGGCGCAAGCCUGAUGCAGCGACGCCGCGUGAGGGAAGACGGCCUUCGGGUUGUAAACCUCUUUCAGCUCCGACGAAGCGCAAGUGACGGUAGGAGCAGAAGAAGCACCGGCCAACUACGUGCCAGCAGCCGCGGUAAUACGUAGGGUGCAAGCGUUGUCCGGAAUUACUGGGCGUAAAGAGCUCGUAGGCGGUUUGUCGCGUCGUCUGUGAAAUUCUGCAGCUUAACUGCAGGCGUGCAGGCGAUACGAGCAGACUUGAGUACUACAGGGGAGAGUGGAAUUCCUUGUGUAGAGGUGAAAUGAGACGAUAUCAGGAGGAACACCGGUGGGGAAGACGGGUCUCUGGGUAGUAACUGACGCUGAGGAGCGAAAGCGUGGGUAGCGAACAGG